UACGGGAGGCAGCAGUGGGGAAUAUUGCACAAUGGGCGAAAGCCUGAUGCAGCUAUGCCGCGUGUAUGAAGAAGGCCUUAGGGUUGUAAAGUACUUUUCAUCGGGGAGGAAAAAACAAAACUAAUAAUUUUAUUUCUUGACGUUACCCGAAAAAGAAGCACCGGCUAACUCCGUGCCAGCAGCCGCGGUAAUACGGAGGGUGCUAGCGUUAAUCAGAAUUACUGGGCGUAAAGAGCACGUAGGUGGUUUUUUUAAAGUCAGAUGUGAAAUCCCUGGGCUUAACCUAGGAACUGCAUUUUGAAACUGAAAUACUAGAGUAUCGUAGAGGGAGGUAGAAUUCUAGGUGUAGCGGUGAAAUGCGUAGAUAUCUGGAGGAAUACCUGUGGCGAAAGCGGCCUCCUAAACCGAAUACUGACACUGAGGGUGCGAAAGCGUGGGGAGCAAACAGGGAUUAGAUACC
rnacentral:rRNA from 1 species